UCUCUGGUUGAUCCUGCCAGUAGUCAUAUGCUUGUCUCAAAGCUUAAGCCAUGCAAGUGUCAGUACAUACUAAAUUAAAGUGAAACCGCAAAGGGCUCAGUAAACCAGUUUUAAUUUACUAGAGUUUUCACGUUUCGUACGUGGAUAACUGUGGUAAUUCUAGAGCUAAUACAUGCAACUAAGUCCGGACCAGAAAUGGAAAGGACGCUUUUAUUAGAUCAAAACCAUUCGCCCGGCUUGUCUGGGCGUUGUUUUGG
rnacentral:ncRNA from 1 species